ACUUGCUCUGGGGAAGCCAGCUGCCAUGUCCUGAAGAUACUAAGGCAACCGUGUGCAGAGGAACUAAAAUACCGAGUUCAACAACAGGUGAGUAGGGAAAACCAAAAACCAGGGCAGGGAGCUUGGAAAUGGCUAGUCCGGUCUUCAGAUGACUGUAGCUUGGCUUACCUCUUCACUGCAACUUCAUGGGAGAUCCAGCACCAGAACCACUCAACCGAGCCACUCUCAGGUUCCUGAUCCACAUGAACUUUGUGAGUUAAAAAAUGUUUGUGUUUUUUAAGUUGCUAAAAUUUGGGGUACUUUUUAAUGCAGUAGUAGAAAAUUGAUGCCCUUUGUAUAUAAAUUCCUUAAUUUAAAAUAAAGCAAGUAACAUAACAUAUAGUAUAUUGGUCUGUUUCUUUAAAAAACAUCUUGUACAUCAAAAUAUUGAUAACUGUUGUCUGGGUGGUAAGAUUAUGUGUGGUUUAACUUCUUUAUGUUUCUAAGUAUUUUUUAUUUCUUCUAAAUAGUAUUAUACAAAUAUUGUAACUUUUAAAAUAAACUUUUAAUAAAAGCAGAAAAUAAAAAUAACUCUUUUUUUUUCUGUGUUCACCCUUCUACAGAUCACAGGUUGCGAGAGGUCUUAAAUCCAUACUCUUCCAGUGACUAGAGCAAAUGCAGCCCUAGGUCUGGCAUCCUGAAUUUUUGUCUUAUUUUUUCAUUAGUACACGAGACUCUACUUUCAUCUUUUUAAAAGGUCUCUUGCUAUCCUUCAAGCAAAGCUAUCUCCAAAUCUGAAGAAGAGACCAAGAAAUAGAAAAAGUAGCACCUCUUGCCUGCUUCCCUGUCUAAUAUUUGAAAGAGUGGUGAGUAUUGAUGUUAUUAUUGCCUUUUC
rnacentral:lncRNA from 1 species